UAGGGAAUCUUCCGCAAUGGACGCAAGUCUGACGGAGCAACGCCGCGUGAGUGAAGAAGGAUUUCGGUUCGUAAAACUCUGUUGUUAGAGAAGAACAGCGCAUAGAGUAACUGUUAUGCGUGUGACGGUAUCUAACCAGAAAGCCACGGCUAACUACGUGCCAGCAGCCGCGGUAAUACGUAGGUGGCAAGCGUUGUCCGGAUUUAUUGGGCGUAAAGCGAGCGCAGGCGGUCAAUUAAGUCUGAUGUGAAAGCCCCCGGCUCAACCGGGGAGGGUCAUUGGAAACUGGUUGUCUUGAGUGCAGGAGAGGAGAGUGGAAUUCCAUGUGUAGCGGUGAAAUGCGUAGAUAUAUGGAGGAACACCAGUGGCGAAGGGGACUCUCUGGUCUGUAACUGACGCUGGGGCUCGAAAGCGUGGGUAGCAAACAGG
rnacentral:rRNA from 1 species